GGCAUGCCCGGUAGCUAAAUGCGGAAGAGAUAAGUGCUGAAAGCAUCUUAAGCACGAAACUUGCCCCGACGAUGAGUUCUCCUGAGACUUUAGGUCUCCUGAAGGAACGUUGAAGACGACGACGUUGAUAGGCCGGGUGUGUAAGCGCAGCGAUGCGUUGAGCUAACCGGUACUAAUGAACCGUGAGGCUUAACCUUACAACGCCGAAG
rnacentral:rRNA from 1 species